rnacentral:rRNA from 1 species
UACAGAGGGUGCAAGCGUUAAUCGGAAUUACUGGGCGUAAAGCGCGCGUAGGUGGUUCGUUAAGUUGGAUGUGAAAUCCCCAGGCUCAACCUGGGAACUGCGUCUGAUACUGGAUGGCUUGAAUCCGGGAGAGGGAUGCAGGAAUUCCAGGUGUAGCGGUGAAAUGCGUAGAUAUCUGGAGGAAUACCAGCGGCGAAGGCGGGUAGCUGGGCCAACACUGACGCUGAUGUGCGAAAGCUAGGGUAGCAAACGGG